GAUGGCCGCUGGCGGCGUGGCUAACACAUGCAAGUCGAGUGAUUCUCUCCGGAGAAGAGCGGCGGACGGGUGAGGAAUGCGUGGGUAACCCGCCCUGUACACACUGAUCACAUACCGAAAGGCAUGCUAAUACGUGACAAUAUGAUUUUAUCGCAUUGUAGCAGUAUCAAAGCUCCGGUGGUACAAGAUGGAGCCGCGUCUGAUGAGAUAGUUGGUAAGGUAACGGCUUACCAAGGCGACGAUCAGUAGCCGACACUGAGAGGCUGAUCGGCCACAUUGGAACUGAGACACGGUCCAAACUCCUACGGGAGGCAGCAGUGGGGAAUAUUGCACAAUGGGGGAAAGCCUGAUGCAGCAACGCCGCGUGAGCGAUGAAGGCCUUCGGUUCGUAAAGCUCUAUCCUCAAGGAAGAUAAUGACGGUACUUGAGGAGGAAGCCCCGGCUAACUACGUGCCAGCCGCCGCCGUAA
rnacentral:rRNA from 1 species